rnacentral:rRNA from 1 species
GACGAACGCUGGCGGCGUGCUUAACACAUGCAAGUCGAACGCUGAAGCCCCAGCUUGCUGGGGUGGAUGAGUGGCGAACGGGUGAGUAACACGUGAGUAACCUGCCCAUCACUCUGGGAUAAGCGCUGGAAACGGCGUCUAAUACUGGAUACGAGCAGCGACCGCAUGGUCAGUUGCUGGAAAGACUGGUUCGGUGAUGGAUGGACUCGCGGCCUAUCAGCUUGUUGGUGAGGUAAUGGCUCACCAAGGCGACGACGGGUAGCCGGCCUGAGAGGGUGACCGGCCACACUGGGACUGAGACACGGCCCAGACUCCUACGGGAGGCAGCAGUGGGGAAUAUUGCACAAUGGGCGCAAGCCUGAUGCAGCAACGCCGCGUGAGGGAUGACGGCCUUCGGGUUGUAAACCUCUUUUAGUAGGGAAGAAGCCUUCGGGUGACGGUACCUGCAGAAAAAGCACCGGCUAACUACGUGCCAGCCGCCGCGGUAA